rnacentral:rRNA from 1 species
UACGUAGGGGCAAGCGUUAUCCGGAAUCAUUGGGCGUAAAGCGCGUGUAGGCGGUCCAGUAAGUCCGCUCUGAAAGCCCAGGCUCAACCCUGGAGGCGGGUGAUACUACUGGACUAGAGUAUGGAAGGAAGGAGAUUGGAAUUCCUGGUGUAGCGGUGAAUGCGCAGAUAUCAGGAGGAACACCAACAGCGAAGCAGAUCUCUGGACGUAACUGACGCUGAGACGCGAAGCGUGGGAGCAACAGG